UACGAAGGGGGCUAGCGUUGUUCGGAAUCACUGGGCGUAAAGGGCGCGUAGGCGGCUUUGUAAGUCGGGGGUGAAAGCCUGUGGCUCAACCACAGAAUUGCCUUCGAUACUGUAGGGCUUGAGACCGGAAGAGGUAAGUGGAACUGCGAGUGUAGAGGUGAAAUUCGUAGAUAUUCGCAAGAACACCAGUGGCGAAGGCGGCUUACUGGUCCGGUUCUGACGCUGAGGCGCGAAAGCGUGGGGAGCAAACAGG
rnacentral:rRNA from 1 species